rnacentral:rRNA from 1 species
AAUCAACGCUGGCGGCGUGCCUCAGACAUGCAAGUCGAACGAUUAAAGCUCUCUUCGGAGAGUGCAUAGAGUGGCGCACGGGUGAGUAACACGUAAGUAAUCUACCUUCGAGUGGGGAAUAACGUCCGGAAACGGACGCUAAUACCGCAUAAUGCAGCGGCAUCGUAAGAUGACAGUUGUUAAAGAUUUAUCGCUUGAAGAGGAGCUUGCGGCAGAUUAGCUAGUUGGUAAGGUAAUGGCUUACCAAGGCUACGAUCUGUAACCGGUCUUAGAGGACGGUCGGUCACACUGACACUGAAUAACGGGUCAGACUCCUACGGGAGGCAGCAGUCGGGAAUUUUGGGCAAUGGGCGAAAGCCUGACCCAGCAACGCCGCGUGAAGGAUGGAGUAUUUCGGUAUGUAAACUUCGAAAGAAUAGGAAGAAUAAAUGACGGUACUAUUUAUAAGGUCCGGCUAACUACGUGCCAGCAGCCGCGGUAAU